AGGGGGGUGGUUGAAGGCUGGUUAAACCGUUUGGUUUUCGACCACUAGGACCCGGGUUCGAUUCCCGCAUUGGAUACUUUUUUCUG
rnacentral:tRNA from 1 species